CUCAAGAUAGUAUAGAUCCUAAAUAUUAUCUAAUUUCAAAAUUAAAUGGUCGUCUUCAUGCAUUAAACCAAAUCGAUGAUCAAAGCUACAUGCUCGUAUCAUGAAAACAAGAAAACGAUGGAGAAAUGUGCCAAAUCAGAAUUAUGCUAUGAUGAAAAAUUCAACGAAAAUCUCCAAAUUUCGACGAAGCUCAAUUUUCAGUGGCUUUAUAUAGCAAUAAGAGUGAGGUCAGAAACAUGUGAAGUCAAAAAAUUUGCGUGGUAAUGUAUGUAUGUGGAUGUGUAAUGCUAUGGAUGAGUCAUUUUGAUGGAAUGUAAUGAAUUAUUGCUGCUUCAUUCAGUUUUGAUUUUCUGCUUACUUUAAUUCAUUUGCUUUGUUUUUCCUUUUGGUUUAUGUUGAUUUUGGAACGUUGACGAUCAUGGAAAGCUGGAUGUAAUGGAUUUAGUUUAUAUUGAAUUUAUGGAUGAUGACAAUGUUCUUGUAUGAGUGUAAUGUGUGUGAAAUUGAAUUUGAAUGAUCUUGUGAAUUAGACAUGGUCAUUGACUUUGUUUUGGUUUAUGUUAUAUGAUGAUGAUGAUGUAGUUUAAACUUGAAUUUAAAUGAUGAGGGUGAUAUUGUAUU